AUGCCCGAGCUCCUCCUCUCUCCCGCGCGCCCGAGCUCCUUGUUGUGCGCCGCCCAGGAGGGCUUGCGCUCGCCGCUCGACCAGAGCCACCGCGAGCUGGGCGUCGUUGCACUUGCCGGCGACCUGGCCGUCCCCUCUGCACCGCCCUCCACCUCAAAUUUCGACGAGCAUGUGUUUGUGUAUGUUCUCAGUUAUUUUUUGCACACAAGGUGUUUGUGUGUUUGUCCGAGCCAGUUUCAGUCACAGAUCCUUAAGGAUGCCAUCUCAGGUCAUGGAUCCACUGUGGCCGCUUCGUCCUUCACUGAGGACCUUCUCAUCCCCACAGAGAUCUGA
rnacentral:rRNA from 1 species